AUGAACGCUGGCGGCGUGCCUCAUACAUGCAAGUCGAGCGCACAGACGAGGAGCUUGCUCCUCUGACGUUAGCGGCGGACGGGUGAGUAACACGUGGAUAACCUACCUAUAAGACUGGGAUAACUUCGGGAAACCGGAGCUAAUACCGGAUAAUAUAUUGAACCGCAUGGUUCAAUAGUGAAAGACGGUUUUGCUGUCACUUAUAGAUGGAUCCGCGCCGCAUUAGCUAGUUGGUAAGGUAACGGCCUACCAAGGCAACGAUGCGUAGCCGACCUGAGAGGGUGAUCGGCCACACUGGAACUGAGACACGGUCCAGACUCCUACGGGAGGCAGCAGUAGGGAAUCUUCCGCAAUGGGCGAAAGCCUGACGGAGCAACGCCGCGUGAGUGAUGAAGGUCUUCGGAUCGUAAAACUCUGUUAUUAGGGAAGAACAAAUGUGUAAGUAACUAUGCACGUCUUGACGGUACCUAAUCAGAAAGCCACGGCUAACUACGUG
rnacentral:rRNA from 1 species